UCUCGUCACCUUGUGAGUUGUUGUCACGCCCCGAACCCAGCAUCCGGGUCCGGUACGCGACCGGCCGCAUGAGCUCUAGAGCAGUGCCCUAAAGAUCAUGCAAGGCCUAUGAUUAAAAAAAAAAUUCCAUUAAAUCCAUAAGAAAUUGAUAAUUUAAAUAGACAAAUCCGACAUGUCCAAAUAAACAAAUUAGUUCAAUUAUAAGAUCUUCUAAUGUUCAUCAACAUCAAAGAAGGAUAAACCAACUAACUAACUAAUAACUCUGGUACUCGCACUCUGCGCCCAUCCCAUCCAAAUCUAUGCAUCCUGCAACUCUGGUAAAGAAAAAGAAGAAGAGGGGGUGAGCUUUAUAGCCCAGUAAGAAUCCCUACACAUCCAUACCAACACAAUAAUAAUAUGAAUUCGAAAACCACGACAAAUCGAUGCACAUUUCGUGAAAUCAUAAACAGUUUCCAUAAGACUCAAAUAAUCAAUAUAAUUAUGAACAUCAAGCAUCAAUAAAAGUCUGGCCACAUAAGAAUGAUAUAGUAUAUAUAUAGCUUACAAAUCACCAUGACUAUUUUCAAUGCUUUUUCUUCCCAUUCCAUGUUAACUUGAUCCGGAUCAAUUAUCUUUCCGACUUUGGGCUACAUCCCGGUCACGUUUCCGGCCCGUGAC
rnacentral:lncRNA from 1 species